rnacentral:rRNA from 1 species
GACGAACCGUGCGAACGUUGUUCGGAAUCACUGGGCUUAAAGGGCGCGUAGGCGGGCGGCAAAGUCAGGGGUGAAAUCCUCCAGCUUAACUGGAGAAGUGCCUUUGAUACUGGUCGUCUUGAGGAAGGUAGGGGCAUGCGGAACUGAUGGUGGAGCGGUGAAAUGUGUUGAUAUCAUCAGGAACUCCGGUGGCGAAAGCGGCGUGCUGGACCUUUUCUGACGCUGAUGCGCGAAAGCCAGGGGAGCAAAGCGGG